UUCUGUGUCAAUUUUAGGUUUAUCAAUUUUUUUUGCAGUUUCUAUCUUCUUAUUACUGUUGAUGCUGAUUGAACUUGUUGUAGUUGUAGUGAUGAAAGAGGUUCAUCUUCAUAUGUUGGUAUCUCGAAAUAAAUAGUAAUUUUGCCUUUUCCAUUCUCUUUUUUCUAUUUAAAUGUUUCUAAUUUCCAACUUAGGGAUUUGAUCACCUAUUCUGAGGCAUUGAAAUUGUAUUUCUUUGAGGCUUUGACUAUACAAGAUUGACAAUGAUACUGACUUUUCUACCUUAAGUGGAUUUGUAUUCAAAUAGGUUUACUUUUAAGAAUAUUUGAUUGUUUUUUCCUUUUUUAAAGAAAGAAUUUAUCUUUUGGAUGAGAAAUUAAAGAUUGAGGAGAACACUGUCAUUAACUCAUUAUAUAUUUGAGAUGUCCAAGCAUUUUCACUUUAUCUUUCUAUGCAUUUAGGAUGAAGUUGUCUCGUUUCUACCGUAUGUUGAGGCCAUAAGGUUUGCAUUUCAUGAGGAGAACAUGGUUCGCACUGCAGAAGCUUUAGUUGGUGAGGCUUUAGGUGAAAAGCAACUUUUCUCCCAAAAAUAGCUUAGCUAGGGACGGAAUUGGUAGUGAGCUUGAGUAUUAUCAUGAAAAGAUCAAGGAACAUUAUGGAGUAUCGUCUCAACCUACUGAUGUGGGAACAAAUCCUCUUGUACACAGAUUUUAGGUGAUUGAUGCAUUAGUUAGCAUCUUCUGUCGUUAUAUUAUAUCUGUAGAGACACUGUGGGAUGGUAGUUGACUUCUACGCCAGUAACAACAACCCACUUUUACUUUUUAAGUUGAACUGAUAUUUAUGCUUGCCAUAUUAAAGUACCACUGGUCACUUUUUAGUUUCUAGACUACUUUCUGAAACAUUAAUUCAGUAGAGCUUUAAAGGAAGCUGAGUAGUUUGAGAAAGAUACCAAUACAAAAUUAUUUAGUAGUCUAACAUGCAUUACAAACGUUAUGAUGGAAUUAUUUUUGUUUUUAAUCUAUAGUAAUGGGAUUCUCUAUCAUGCAAUUGUACCAACGAUUUAUUUAUGUAUUUAUUUAUUUAGUAGUCAAACAUGCCUUAAAUUUAUUAAUAUUCUGAGUUUUUACAAGCAAAAAUAAUUAUUUAUUUAUUUAUUUUGGUAUACACUAAUUUCUUACACUUAAAUAUAUGAUUUCACGAAUCUCUUAUGCCAUGAUUUAGGGCAUUAAUAUAUAAUAUAAUAGCUAGUGCAUAUAAGAUUACUUAAUAUACACAUUAAGAGCAAACUUUGAGUUCAUAGGCAAACUUAGGGUUGAUUUUUGGUGCUUCCACGAUAGGGAUAUAGCUCCUGAUGGACAAACUUUGAAGGUGAUUACUCAAUCUUUUAAAUUUGUCAUAGUUUGUACUUGAUUAAUUAAUAAUGCUCUGCUUCUGAUUAUUGCACCUGUUGAGUUUGUCAUAGGAAGCUAAUGAAAAUUUGGAUGAAGUGGUGGCUCUUGCUGAAGACCUUUAAACUAAGAGCAACAAGAAAGUUUUAUGGGAACGACUCAAUUAUUCAUGUAUUCUAGCUAUAUGCAUGGUGGUGCUACUAGUUCUAAAUUACAGGUGUAUGCAUGUGCUGCUGUUCAAGUGAAAAAAGCCAUGGAGAUACAUUUGUGUGUAUGAACUGAAUGUAGAGUAGUAAAAGAAAGAUCCAUUUGGCUGAUUUAAUUUGCAGGUGACAUAUUAUUUGGGGGGAGAAAAUUAUAUUUUCUGGGGUGGUCAAAAAGGUUACCAGUCUCUUUUGAACACAGAUAUGAAACUAGAGCUUAAUCAUGUAGCUACAUUUCUUCAAGCUGCUGUUAGACACAAAAAAGAUUGGAUUUAAUGGUUUAUAUUGAAUUUUUAUUGGAGGCAGAUUCAUUUUUCAAUGCAAAGACGUUUAACCAAAAUACCUCUGAAAAUGGUACCCACUAGCAUGGCCAAAGAAUUUGCUGGCAUAAAUGAAUGAUGGAAAUGAUAUGACAUU